rnacentral:rRNA from 1 species
GCAAGCGUUAAUCGGAAUUACUGGGCGUAAAGCGUGCGCAGGCGGUUUGUUAAGUCUUUUGUGAAAUCCCCGAGCUCAACUUGGGAAUUGCAAUGGAUACUGGCAGGCUGGAGUAUGGUAGAGGAAGGUGGAAUUCCCGGUGUAGCAGUGAAAUGCGUAGAGAUCGGGAGGAACACCAGUGGCGAAGGCGGCCUUCUGGACCAAUACUGACGCUCAUGCACGAAGGCGUGGGGAGCAAACAGG